rnacentral:lncRNA from 1 species
UUUUUUUUAUGGCAUAGCUCAAAAACCUACCAUCCCAAUAUUCACAUCAUCUACCGCAGAGAGGACAUUUCUUCUUUCCUUUAGGUUACACUUAGGUCUUGAUGUCUCUUCAAGCAACUCAGAGGUCUUCCACUUCUUUGUCUAGUGACACCACUCACCUCACUAUUGGAAUCCACAAGAGCAUCAUGUCAUGACCCUAACUGAACUCUAUUUUGUGCUAUUGGAGUCCGUCAAGAAGUGGAGCUGUCAUGAAGAUUCAGAGCAAAGGUCCUGGGGACUGCUAUGGAUUCAGAGCCAACGCCUAGCAAGGGCUGCCUCUCGUCUUCAGUCCUCUUGCUGCCUCUCUCCUAAAUAUCCUCUCCUUGGGUGGAUAUCCUAUGUGCAUCUCGGCACUGAGCCCACCCACCCAACUAGGCCAAUAAAUGGAGCUACGCUUUUGUGCAGACAGUUUCUGCUACUACUGACCUUGAUGUCUCUGGGAGGAACUGGGCGCUCAGACAAAAAUAGUCUGACUCCUUUAGAUACAAUAUUGAUCUAAUGUACAAAAAUUGAGCAAGAAAUUUAAAUCACCCAUGCAAUCAUGUCAUUUGUAGUAAAAUAAAAAAUCAUUAUA